GAGUUUGAUCUUGGCUCAGGACGAACGCUGGCGGCGUGCCUAACACAUGCAAGUCGAGCGAGAUCCAUCCAGUGGCAACACUGGUGAAGAUCUAGCGGCGAACGGGUGAGUAACACGUGAGAAACCUGCCCCGGAGACCGGGAUAACCCGAGGAAACUCGAGCUAAUACCGGAUACCCCCAUCUCAUGGCAUGUUGAGAUGAGGAAAUGCUCCGACGCUCCGGGAGGGUCUCGCGGCCUAUCAGGUAGUUGGUGAGGUAACGGCUCACCAAGCCGAAGACGGGUAGCUGGUCUGAGAGGACGAUCAGCCACACUGGGACUGAGACACGGCCCAGACUCCUACGGGAGGCAGCAGUGGGGAAUCUUGCGCAAUGGGCGAAAAGCCUGACGCAGCAACGCCGCGUGCGGGAUGAAGGCUCUCGGGUUGUAAACCGGCUUUCAGGA
rnacentral:rRNA from 1 species